UACGUAGGGGGCUAGCGUUGUCCGGAAUCAUUGGGCGUAAAGCGCGUGUAGGCGGUCCGGUAAGUCCGCUGUGAAAGUCCAGGGCUCAACCCUGGAAAGCCGGUGGAUACUGUCGGGCUAGAGUCCGGAAGAGGCGAGUGGAAUUCCCGGUGUAGCGGUGAAAUGUGUAGAGAUCGGGAGGAACACCGGUGGCGAAGGCGGGACUCUGGGCCUACCCUGACGCUCAGGCACGAAAGCGUGGGGAGCAAACAGG
rnacentral:rRNA from 1 species